rnacentral:rRNA from 1 species
UUUUUGAAGAGUUUGAUCCUGGCUCAGAGUGAACGCUAGCGGUGCGCCUAACACAUGCAAGUCGAACGGGUUCAGACCCGUGGCGAACGGCUGCGUAACACGUUGGUACCUGCCCCAGACUCAGGGAUAACCCGCCGAAAGGCGGGCUAAUACCGGAUGGUCUCGAAAGAGUAAAGCUUUCGCGGUCUGGGAGGGGCCUGCGGCCUAUCAGCUCGUUGGUAAGGUAACGGCUUACCAAGGCUAUGACGGGUAGCUGGAUUGAGAGAUCGACCAGCCAGAAUGGGACUGAGACACGGCCCAUACUCCUACGGGAGGCAGCAGUGAGGAAUCUUCCGCAAUGGGGGCAACCCUGACGGAGCGACACCGCGUGAAGGAUGAAGACAGUUUCUGUUGUAAACUUCUGUUCUGAGGGACGAAAUUUUUGACGGUACCUCAGGAGAAAGCACCGGCUAAUCUCGUGCCAGCAGCCGCGGUAAUACGAGAGGUGCAAGCGUUACUCGGAAUCACUGGGCGUAAAGCGUCCGUAGGCGAUUCGGAAAGUCUGAUGUAAAAGCACGGAGCCCAACUCCGUGUAUGUGUCGGAAACUCCCGAGAUAGAGUCAUGCAGAGGCAUCUGGAAUUUCGUGUGUAGGGGUAAAAUCCGUUGAUCCACGAAGGAACGCCAAAAGCGAAGGCAGGAUGCUGGGCAUGUACUGACGCUGAGGGACGAAAGCGUGGGGAGCGAAGGGGAUUAGAUACCCCCGUAGUCCACGCCCUAAACUAUGCGAGCUCGGUGUUGGAACAUCAAUCUGUUCCAGUGCCCAAGUUAACACGGUAAGCUCGCCGCCUGAGGAGUACGGUCGCAAGACUAAAACUUAAAGGAAUAGACGGGGACCCACACAAGCGGUGGAGCAUGGGGUUUAAUUCGAUGAUAAGCGAAGCACCUCACCCAGGCUUGACAUCUAGGGAAUUCCGCAGAAAUGCGGAAGUGCCGCAAGGAACUCUAAGACAGGCGAUGCACGGUCGUCGUCAGCUCGUGCCUUGAGGUGUACUGUUAAGUCAGCAAACGAGCGCAACCCUCAUCCUAUGUUGCUUUUUCAUAGGAGACUGCCGCCUCCAAGGCGGAGGAAGGUGGGGAUGACGUCAGAUCAGCGUGUCCCUUAUGCCUGGGGCAACACCCGUGCUACAAUGGCCGGUACAAAGGGUAGCGAAGCCGCGAGGCGGAGCAAAUCCCACAAAACCGGUCUCAGUUCGGAUUGAAGUCUGCAACUCGACUUCAUGAAGUUGGAAUCGCUAGUAACCGUGAAUCAGCUACGUCACGGUGAAUAUGUUCCUGGGUCUUGUACUCACCGCCCGUCAAGUCAUGAAAGGCAGAAGCACCUGAAGCACCUUUACUCGCAAGAGGGGGUACCACGGUGAAGCUGCUGAUUGGGACUAAGUCGUAACAAGGUAUCCGUAGGAGAACCUGCGGAUGGAACACUUCCUUA